rnacentral:rRNA from 1 species
CCUACGGGUGGCAGCAGUGAGGAAUAUUGGUCAAUGGGCGCGAGCCUGAACCAGCCAAGUCGCGUGAGGGAAGACGGUCCUAUGGAUCGUAAACCUCUUUUGUCGGGGAGCAAAAGACGCCACGCGUGGCGUGCCGAGAGUACCCGAAGAAAAAGCAUCGGCUAACUCCGUGCCAGCAGCCGCGGUAAUACGGAGGAUGCGAGCGUUAUCCGGAUUUAUUGGGUUUAAAGGGUGCGCAGGCGGAAGAUCAAGUCAGUGGUAAAAUUGAGAGGCUCAACCUCUUCGAGCCGUUGAAACUGGGUUUCUUGAGUUAGCGAGAAGUAUGCGGAAUGCGUGGUGUAGCGGUGAAAUGCAUAGAUAUCACGCAGAACUCCGAUUGCGAAGGCAGCAUACCGGCGCUCAACUGACGCUCAUGCACGAAAGUGUGGGUAUCGAACAGGAUUAGAUACCCUGGUAGUC